UCCAGACUCCUACGGGAGGCAGCAGUGGGGGAUAUUGCACAAUGGGGGGAACCCUGAUGCAGCGACGCCGCGUGGGUGAAGGAGCGUUUCGGCGCGUAAAGCCCUAACGGCAGGGAAGAAGGAGGACGGUACCUGACUAAGAAGCCCCGGCUAACUACGUGCCAGCAGCCGCGGUAAUACGUAGGGGGCAAGCGUUAUCCGGAUUUACUGGGUGUAAAGGGGGCGCAGACGGCAGCGCAAGCCAGGAGUGAAAGCCCGGGGCCCAACCCCGGGACUGCUCUUGGAACUGCGCGGCUGGAGUGCAGGAGGGGCAGGCGGAAUUCCUGGUGUAGCGGUGAAAUGCGUAGAUAUCAGGAGGAACACCGGUGGCGAAGGCGGCCUGCUGGACUGCGACUGACGUUGAGGCCCGAAAGCGUGGGGAGCAAACAGGAUUAGAUACCCCCGUAUUG
rnacentral:rRNA from 1 species